rnacentral:rRNA from 1 species
CUUUAAUGGAGAGUUUGAUCCUGGCUCAGGACGAACGCUGGCGGCGUGCCUAAUACAUGCAAGUCGAGCGGGGUUAGUUAGAAGCUUGCUUCUAACUAACCUAGCGGCGGACGGGUGAGUAACACGUAGGCAACCUGCCCACAAGACAGGGAUAACUACCGGAAACGGUAGCUAAUACCCGAUACAUCCUUUUCCUGCAUGGGAGAAGGAGGAAAGGCGGAGCAAUCUGUCACUUGUGGAUGGGCCUGCGGCGCAUUAGCUAGUUGG